GACGAACGCUGGCGGCGUGCUUAACACAUGCAAGUCGAACGGAAAGUGCCCAGCUUGCUGGGUGACUCGAGUGGCGAACGGGUGAGUAACACGUGGGUGAUCUGCCCUGCACUUUGGGAUAAGCCUGGGAAACUGGGUCUAAUACCGAAUACUCCUUGCUGGUCGCAUGGCCUGGUGGGGGAAAGCUUUUGCGGUGUGGGAUGGGCCCGCGGCCUAUCAGCUUGUUGGUGGGGUGAUGGCCUACCAAGGCGACGACGGGUAGCCGGCCUGAGAGGGUGUCCGGCCACACUGGGACUGAGAUACGGCCCAGACUCCUACGGGAGGCAGCAGUGGGGAAUAUUGCACAAUGGGCGCAAGCCUGAUGCAGCGACGCCGCGUGAGGGAUGACGGCCUUCGGGUUGUAAACCUCUUUCAGUAUCGACGAAGCGUAAGUGACGGUAGAUACAGAA
rnacentral:rRNA from 1 species